rnacentral:lncRNA from 1 species
GCCGAAAGUGGGAAAAAUUUGCGGUGGUGGCUAGAAAUUGAUGGAAACGGUGGGAAAAAACACACAAACUGGACUCUAAGAAGACCUAACUAGUAACAAGACCUCGACCAGGACACAAACUCAACACUACGGACUGUGAAACUGAAAUAUGCAAAGGCUACGGUGCGGAUGGGUUGUAGGACAUGAAAACAAUAUGGCACUAGACUUAUGAGACGAACACAAGGACACUCAAAACUAAAGGUAGAUGUGCACCUAAAGGUAUGUCUGAAGUUUUGAUUACCACAUGAGGAGAAAAGGUGUGGCCCGAUCUUACGAAAGGUUCUGGUAACUAUCGAUUUGGUGGAAACGAGACACAAAUCAAUCCAGCUUGCGAACAACACGAUUCAAUACCCUGCAAUUCUUUUUAUUUUAUUUUUUUUUGAUAUUUUUCUUUUACUUUGGAACACUCGAGAAGUAACCACAGGAAAUUUGAGCUUAAACAAGUGAAAGACGUAGCCUGUGGAAUUUUUUGAAAAUUGCAAAAAAUAUGAAAAAAACUUUAGGAGGUGAAAAAUCAAACUUCAGAGGCGAAUUUGGGGAUUCUAAAAUGGAUGAACCCACCUAUGGCGUGGAUAGACAGAUCCAAAAAAAAUUUUUGAUCGAUUUUGAUAUAUGGAACGUCAAAAUCGGAGUUCGUAUGCUAAAGUUAUGGCUGUUUUACGAACGGACUCCGAAUUAGAGGACAAAACGGUCCGCAAGUGGGAAAAUUUUGCGGUGGUGGAUAGAAAUUGAUAGAAACGGUGGGAAAAACACACAAACUAGACUCUAACAAGACCUAACCAGUAACAAGACCUCAACCAGGACACAAACUCAACACUACGGACCGUAAAACUGAAAUAUGCAAAGGCUAUGGCGCGGAUGGGUUAUAGGACAUGAAAACAAUAUGGCACUAGACUUAUGGGACGAACAUAAGGACACUCGAAAAUAAGGGUAGAUGUGAACCUAACGGUAUAUCUGAAGCUUUGAUUACCACUUGAGGAGAACAAGUGUGGCCCGAUCUUCCGAAAGGUUCUGGUAACUAUUGAUUUGGUAGAAACGAGACACAAAUCAAUCCAGCUUGCGAACAACACGAUUCGAAACCCUGCAAUUCUUUUUUUUUGAUAUAUUUCUUUUACUUAGGAGCACUCAUCAAGUAACCAUAUGAAAUUUGAGCUUAAACAAGUGAAAGACGUGGCCUGUGGAACUUUUUGAAGAUUGUGAAA